GACGAACGCUGGCGGCGUGCUUAACACAUGCAAGUCGAACGGAAAGGCUCCAGCUUGCUGGAGUGCUCGAGUGGCGAACGGGUGAGUAACACGUGGGCAAUCUGCCCUGCACUCUGGGAUAAGCCUGGGAAACUGGGUCUAAUACCGGAUAGGACCUUUCUCCUCAUGGGGUUUGGUGGAAAGUUUUUCGGUGCAGGAUGGGCCCGCGGCCUAUCAGCUUGUUGGUGGGGUAAUGGCCUACCAAGGCGACGACGGGUAGCCGGCCUGAGAGGGUGAUCGGCCACAUUGGGACUGAGAUACGGCCCAGACUCCUACGGGAGGCAGCAGUGGGGAAUAUUGCACAAUGGGCGAAAGCCUGAUGCAGCGACGCCGCGUGAGGGAUGACGGCCUUCGGGUUGUAAACCUCUUUCAGUAGGGACGAAGCGCAAGUGACGGUACCUGCAGAAGAAGCACCGGCUAACUACGUG
rnacentral:rRNA from 1 species